rnacentral:rRNA from 1 species
UACGUAGGGGGCAAGCGUUGUCCGGAAUCAUUGGGCGUAAAGAGCGUGUAGGUGGCUCGGUAAGUCCGCUGUGAAAGUCCAGGGCUCAACCCUGGAAUGCCGGUGGAAACUGUCGAGCUAGAGUCCGGAAGAGGCGAGUGGAAUUCCAGGUGUAGCGGUGAAAUGCGUAGAUAUCUGGAGGAAUACCGGUGGCGAAGGCGGCAUCCUGGACCGACAUUGACGCUGAUGAGCGAAAGCUAGGGGAGCAAACGGG